GACGAACGCUGGCGGCGCGCCUAACACAUGCAAGUCGAACGAGCGAGCGAGAGCUUGCUUUCUUGAGCGAGUGGCGAACGGGUGAGUAACGCGUGAGGAACCUGCCUCAAAGAGGGGGACAACAGUUGGAAACGACUGCUAAUACCGCAUAAGCCCACGGUGCCGCAUGGCACAGAGGGAAAAGGAGCAAUCCGCUUUGAGAUGGCCGCGCGUCCGAUUAGCUAGUUGGUGAGGUAACGGCCCACCAAGGCGACGAUCGGUAGCCGGACUGAGAGGUUGGACGGCCACAUUGGGACUGGGACACGGCCCAGACUCCUACGGGAGGCAGCAGUGGGGAAUAUUGCACAAUGGGGGAAACCCUGAUGCAGCGACGCCGCGUGGAGGAAGAAGGUCUUCGGAUUGUAAACUCCUGUUGUUGGGGAAGAUAAUGACGGUACCCAACAAGGAAGUGACGGCUAACUACGUG
rnacentral:rRNA from 1 species